rnacentral:rRNA from 1 species
AGUGAACGCUGGCGGUAGGCCUAACACAUGCAAGUCGAACGGCAGCACAGUAAGAGCUUGCUCUUACGGGUGGCGAGUGGCGGACGGGUGAGGAAUACAUCGGAAUCUACUUUUUCGUGGGGGAUAACGUAGGGAAACUUACGCUAAUACCGCAUACGACCUACGGGUGAAAUCAGGGGAUCUUCGGACCUUGCGCGAUUGAAUUAGCCGAUGUCGGAUUAGCUAGUUGGCGGGGUAAAGGCCCACCAAGGCGACGAUCCGUAGCUGGUCUGAGAGGAUGAUCAGCCACACUGGAACUGAGACACGGUCCAGACUCCUACGGGAGGCAGCAGUGGGGAAUAUUGGACAAUGGGCGCAAGCCUGACCCAGCCAUACCGCGUGGGUGAAGAAGGCCUUCGGGUUGUAAAGCCCUUUUGUUGGGAAAGAAAAGAAGCAGGUUAAUACCCCGCUGUUCUGACGGUACCCAAAGAAUAAGCACCGGCUAACUUCGUG